ensembl:lncRNA
UGACACUCAGACUGUGCCAAGAGCAUGUGUGUGUCCCCUAAAGAUGUUUGCGGAUUAUUCAGAAAGGCUGCACUUCACAGAUGUGAGUCAUUAAAUGCCUUAGGCAGAUGGCAAGAGAUGAUGUAAACAAAAUCAGGAUACCAAAAGAGGAAAGAAAAACCUGAAAAAGAGCAGAGGACAAGACGGCAACUGUUAUGGGCCCUCUCCCAUUUUGCAUCCGGUCCUCUUGACAAUGGCACCCACAGUUACCCAGCAGACAGACCUGUGCUGAAAAAAAAAAAAAUUCUACCUCUCUCUUGUCCAGUUUUCCACCCUUUCAGCCCUUCUUUCUGGAAAAAGGGAGUAAAUUGAGCUUGGAGAUGAUUCCUGAACCAGUGGCUGCUCUGUGCUCUCCAUUUUUUGCUUCAGGAACAACAUUGGAGUUGUGGUGACAACAGUGGAAUAUCUAUCCUGAAAACACUCCUUGAUACUAGUUCUGAUACAAAGUUGUGUUAUCCGGGUUUACAGAAAUGGUAUUGAAUGCAUAAAUAGAUCCAUUAAGCUAAUAAUGAUCACUCACUAAUGAAGUCAUGGUGGUAGUUGUGGAAGUAGCCAAUGCACUGUUCAGCCAAUGAUAU